UGAGGAAUAUUGGUCAAUGGACGAGAGUCUGAACCAGCCAAGUAGCGUGCAGGAUGACGGCCCUAUGGGUUGUAAACUGCUUUUGUUUGGGAAUAAUCGACAUUACGUGUAAUGUUUUGCAUGUACCAUUCGAAUAAGGACCGGCUAAUUCCGUGCCAGCAGCCGCGGUAAUACGGAAGGUCCAGGCGUUAUCCGGAUUUAUUGGGUUUAAAGGGUGCGUAGGUUGCAAGGGAAGUCAGGGGUGAAAAGCUAUAGCUCAACUAUGGUCUGGCCUUUGAAACUCUCUAGCUAGAGUGUACUGGAGGUACGUGGAACGUGUGGUGUAGCGGUGAAAUGCAUAGAUAUCACACGGAACGCCGAUUGCGCAGGCAGCGUACUACAUUACAACUGACACUGAAGCACGAAAGCGUGGGUAUCAAACAGG
rnacentral:rRNA from 1 species